AAUAACGAGGCAUUUGCAAUUGAAUAUGUUUGUCCUGUUCGAUCAUGACCUGUCAGAAACGCAAUUUCUGAGCGGCCUGAUGUUUCUGUAAAUUCAGUUUUGUGCUGAAUUCAGCAACAUAAUAUGUUUAAGUUAUCGACUGAUGUGAAGCAACAUAUUUUGAUCAAUUUCUAUGUUUCAUCAUGUUUUUUUUUCAUUGAUGAUAAAAAUGGAAACUAAUCACAUCGAAAUAGAUCAGAAUAAGCCCUCGUUCGCACGAGAGUUUUUUUAACGGACGUUAAAAAAGCGUUCAAAUAUAGCAUGAAGUAAAAUGAAAGUCUAUUUCCAACGUCCAAAAUUUUAAAUGCAACAGUGUGUUUUAAACACUUUGUCGUGUGAACAUGUACUUGAAAUGAAUGAAGUUGUAUUUGUACGCGUUUUUAACGACCGUUAAAACAAAACUCUCGUGCGAAUGAGAGCUAAUGCGGUUUGGCGUAAGAAAUAAUAAUUUCGCUAUUAAGGUUUGCAACAAAAAAACCUUCAAAAAUACUUUUUUAAAAAACUUGCGAGAGUAUUUUUGACUGAGACGUGAGUAUUUAGAUUUAGAUUACAUUUUUCAAAAUUGCUUGUAUAAUCAUGCAUAAUCGAAAUAAAUAAAUUUGAAACCCAUCACAUAAGACAAUUUUUUCACGGAAAAUCAAAUAUUGCGAAUUAUGAAUAAAUGAAAUCUGAAUCACAAGGAAUAGUAAUUAUUUUAUUAUAUAAGAUGUAACAGAAAGCUUAGCGUGACGAUAUUUAGUUACUACGGAGUAUCGAAAAAAAAAUAUCUUAUUUGUUUACUCUCUCUAUGACAACUCUAUAUUAUUUAAAUGAUCGAAAACAACAAAAUUUAUUGUAUCCAACCUUGAAGGAAUUGGUCAAAAAUCCUUGAAGGUUUGAUAAAAUUAAUUAAUUGUAGCAUCGUGGAACGUUUGGAUAUUCUUUCUAUACAUUAAAAACAACAAAGUUGAUAUGUUAUAUAAAAUCGAUAAAAAUUUAAUAGAAAACAAAAAAAACUAAAAUGAAAUGAUCGAUCUUUUCACUGCUUACCGUUCGCUUAAGAAAAGAUGGACAAAAAUGGCUUUAUAUAUGACAAAAAUUUUAUUGAUUUUUAUGUAAUAGAAUCCCCUAUCAAAUAGUAUAUAGACAGAGGGAUUUUAAAUUAACAGCAUUUAUUAAUUUUGUUUUUAAUUUUCAUUACUUAUCCUGGCCUAUAAAUUUUCUUAAUUUAUCGAUACCCACGUAGUAAAAAUAUGGCGGUCACGCUAGGGACUGUGAUUUAAAGCUAAAAAUUAUCGUGUAUAGUUUAUAGAAUAGACAUAAGGGUGAAGAUGAUAGGUGACCAUGAACUUGGUACAUGUUUGGCUCAUUAAUGGCUUGUAGCUUGGUGAACAAUAAGAUAACCCAUCGCUGGAUUCUAUAGUGUUUUUCGUAGCAUGGUGCGGGUGACAUGUGUAUUUUUUAGUCAGUUUUGGAAUAAAUUAAUCUAACAUAUGAAAAAUAAAUAUUAUUAUUUUUGUCCUGCACGCACCAUGUUAGAUUGAUGGAUGCGUAGAACUUGAAUAAACAUGCAAAUGACUCGUCUGAUAUUAAUUAAGAAGUAAAAAAUUGCACCUAGAUACGCCAAUGCUAUCGACUUGAAACAGAUGUUAGGUUCUCGACGACUCAAAUAAAAAUGGCGAAAUUUGUGCUUAAUUUUUAUACAUACAGUACCAAGUUCAUAAUUGUUAUAAACGAUUACACUUUUCACCCUGUUUAUUGUAGAAUAUUAUGUAUAGUAAUUAGAAUAAAUUAUAGAGUAAUAUAUAUAUGAUAUAAUUGUAAAGUCAAAGACUUCUGUGUGGUAUUUACUAGAUCGGAAUUUCAACACUGAAACUGU
rnacentral:lncRNA from 1 species